UGUCAAUGCUUAACAAAUAUAGAUCAUCAUUCGACAGUGUGGUAUAAAUGUCGCGCUACUGUAUUACGGUGCAAGUAUUGAAUGCGCAAGAUUACAAUAUGAGGCUGACAGUGGUGUUUUUAAUCGUGACAAUCCUGGUCUGCGCUAUGAUCCAGGAAUCUGAGCAAACCUCUUGGUUCUCUCGCCGAAGACUCCAUGGAUGCCGCCGCCAUAGGACGACAAUGGCCGCUACAACGGCAACAACAACAACAACAACAACAUCAACAACUUCAUCGACGCCUGCAGGUAGAAGAAAGCGCGAAAUUAUAGCUGGUCCGCUUUUAUCAGCAUUGGCGUAAUAAGGGUGAAGAAAUUGAAAACUCAAGUCUCCGCAAAGGAAAAUAAUACUAAAAUGCAGAAACUUCAUUAUAAUAAAAUAUAUGAUUAUAUUUCCGCUAAAUUAACAAGGCAAACUAGCAUAGUCUAGAAUUGUAGUAUGUGAAUGAAAUAGCCUCUGUAAUAAAAACAUUCGAGAUAUUAG